ACUAGCCUUGUCUGGCUCUCAUUCCUUUCUCUUUCUACACAGAGCUCUGUCCUGUCAGUGUCCCCAAUCCAAGGUCACGGCGAAACAGUGCUGCUCUUGAUAGUGGACAGGAGGAGGACCAUGCUGGCCCUGCCACCUCCUGCAGAAAGCUGCUGGCAGGUGUAGUCACUCUGUCACCCUGCUGCCCAGCAACUGGGCAGUCCUGUUACAUCACAGCCCACACACCCUCUGCCUGUCACCUGCCCAAACAACACCCCUGGCCCUGGCCAGCACAGCUGUGAUACAUGGAACUGAAGAGAGGAGAAAGAUGUUCCACACCUGGAUGUGCACCCAAAGAGAAGGACAGCGUUGUCCACGCAAAGACUCAGAUACUGAACACCCCGACAACUUUAUCGAAAUAACCCAGGUGUCCAACAUAUGGAUGGAUAAACACAUUGUGGCAAAGCUCUCUAAAAGGAUGGAGUUUAGGAAGUAACAACAGAAGGAAAAAAUAGGAGCUGGGAAGACAGAAAGAAAGAGAAGGUGGCAGAAAAAAACAGAAAAAAAAUGAGCCUCGAGUCUACUCAUCUACACAGGUGCAUCUCACAACACGGAUGGGUCUCAGAUUCAUCGCGCUGAGUGAGAGAAGCCUUGUAAAAUAGACUUGUGAGAUUCCACUUCUACAACGUUCUUAAAGCACAAGUUAACCUAAGGCAAGAGGAAGCACACAGUGGUUAUCUGGGGCCCAGGGUGGCUCCAGGCAGGGGAAAACAAGGGAAAUUAAAGAGGCUUCUAGGGAAA